rnacentral:lncRNA from 1 species
UUUAAUUAUUUUCCUACUUGUGCACCCCCGUGAAAUUAUUAAUCUCACCCUCCCAUUCCACAAGAACCAAUAUUUCUAAUGCACCCUCGCUAUUACUAAUUCACAACAUAAUAGAAAAAAAUAUAAUUCUUUAAUGUACCCCUUAAACUUCUAAAUACACUCCCUUUCUUAAACCUACCAACUCAAGUGGUCCCUACAACUAUUUUUAACUUUAGAAACACACUUUAAUUUUCUUUCACCAAGUGGACCCCACUUAAAAUAUUCAUUUUUCACUAAAAAAAAUUAUCUUUCUCUCUCCUACUCUCCACUUUUACAUAACCAAACUUUCUCUCCCUUCUCUCUUUUGCUUUUAUUUCCCAUACACAAAAUUUCAUUCACUCAUCUUUUCUCACAUGGACCCCACUUCCCAUUUUAUUUGAGUUUUCAAACUAAACCAUUCCUUCCUCUCACCAAAGUCACGUAACCCCUCUCUAAACUCUCUUUUUUUUUCUCUCUUUUUUUUUUCUUUUUUUUUUCUUCACUCUCCCAACCUUAUUUACGUAAACACACACAGACACUUAUACACUACAAUUCUUUCAUUUCACUCUUCUCUCUCCUCUACUCAAUGCUCACGGUCCCACACAAUAUCCCACAUACUUUUAAUUUUCUUUUUCACUCACCUUCUCUACCAUUUACGUAUCAAUACUACAACACCCAUAUUUCUUCUUUUGACUUUUGAACCCCAAAACCUCUCUCAUUCUCCUCUCUCAUUUCACGUCAAAAACAAACACGCAUCUUCCUUCCUCUUUUCACGUCAACCAUGCAACAUCUUUGUGACACCCGGGCACUGACGAGGGCGGGGAGUGAUCGCCGGUGCAAGAAGCAUGGUGCAGGGGGCACGGACAAGGAGCGGCUCCUGGCAGGCUUCGAGUGGAAGGGGCACAUGGACGAAUCGAACAUACACCAGAAUGAGAGGGAUCUAGAGACUGUAUAGGUN